rnacentral:rRNA from 1 species
GACGAACGCUGGCGGCGUGCUUAACACAUGCAAGUCGAACGGAAAGGCCCUGCUUGCAGGGUACUCGAGUGGCGAACGGGUGAGUAACACUUGGGUGAUCUGCCCUGCACUUCGGGAUAAGCCGGGGAAACUGGGUCUAAUACCGGAUAGGAGCCAUUUUUAGUGUGAUGGUUGGAAAGUUUUUUCGGUGUAGGAUGAGCUCGCGGCCUAUCAGCUUGUUGGUGGGGUAAUGGCCUACCAAGGCGGCGACGGGUAGCCGGCCUGAGAGGGUGGACGGCCACAUUGGGACUGAGAUACGGCCCAGAAUCCUACGGGAGGCAGCAGUGGGGAAUAUUGCACAAUGGGCGCAAGCCUGAUGCAGCGACGCCGCGUGGGGGAUGACGGCCUUCGGGUUGUAAACUCCUUUCGCUAGGGACGAAGCUUUUGUGACGGUACCUAGAUAAGAAGCACCGGCUAACUACGUG